rnacentral:lncRNA from 1 species
CUGGAAUAUGGGUUGCCCUUGGCAAAUGAUCCUCUCAAAUCUUCCCUCAUUUGCAAAUUGGGAACGGUAAUCGCUCCUGUCCAGGAGGGAGGUGAGAGCUAGGGGUAGGCAGUCAUAGGGCGCCUGGCCUAACACUCGGUCGGGUGGGGCCGGGGUGGGGUGGAGAAGGUUAUUACUUUACCAGCAGCCAGGGCUGGCCCCUCCAGUAGAGAAGCCGCUCCACGCCAGGUGGGGCCCUGAGCAGCACCGCGCCCUGGUCCUUGAGGCAUUUCCACUCCCCCUUGCCCUGCCCGGUGCCUGUUUUUCCCUCUCUGCCCCUCAGUUGGCGCCUUCUGCCAGCCGAUCUUGACUUUUUUUUCCUUUUUUUCUCCCGAGCCUGCUCGGGGGGCUGCGGGCGCUCGGGCAGCUCGCGGGUCACAUGGCCCGCCGGAGCGCGGGGAGUCCCGCGCCGCAGCCGCGCGCGGAGACGAGGCGAGGCCGUGGGGAGCCGGCCAUGGAGCCUCCGCGGACAUGAGGCCAGCCAGGCCGGGCGACAGCAGAGGCGGCCCUCCGCGAGCGCCGGGACCGGAGCCGACCGCCCCGCCGGAUGCCAAGUAUUGGAAUGAUGCCCUUUCUAUGCCGACUUCCAAGUGUGUCAGUGCAAGUGAGACCAGGCCCCCAGUUGCUGCUGCAAGUGACCGCACUGGCUGUCUCCGGAAUCCAGCUCAGCGCGUUCCGCAGCCCGUACGCCGCCUGGUGGUGGACAGGCGCAUGGCCUGGACAGCCAAACGCGCAGAGGACCAGCGCGCUCCCUAAGGGUCGUUUGGCUCCUCCUUCGCUCAGUGGAUGCCCCUCCCCUCACAAGGGGUGGGGCAGGGCCACCUUCCUUCCCUGGACCUGCACCCCCAGCGCUGCAUCUUAGCUGCCAAAGCAUAUACCUCAGUGUCUGUUCUUGAUUUUUAAAAUUGUGAGUUGAGAUAGAAGAACACUUUUCUAAAAUGAGCGGAUAUUCCAAACAAAAACCCAACAUCAUCCUUAGUAAAAAAACACCAGCAACGUUACCAUGAACAUUAGAAACAAGCUAGGACGCCCUAUCAACAUAACAUUUUAGUCUCUUUUCUGUACGUGCAAAUGAAAUGCACAAGGUUGGAAAGGGAAAACAUUUUUUCAUUAUUUGUAAAAGAUAUUUUUCUAAGGUUAAAAAUUUUAAAAUGGAAGAAAAUCAACUGAAAAUAGAACUAUUAUAGAUUUCAAAAUGGAGGCGAAGUACUAAAGAAAUAGCUUUUCUAUAAUAAAUAGCUGUCCUCAUAGCAUUUAGUUGAAAAUAUAAUGGCAAAAAAAGCCCCACUUACCAUAGCAACAAAAAUGUCAAAGCUCCUAGAAUAAAUUUAACAAGAAACUCGUAAGGCCUAUUAUCCAAAGAACAACAAAUAUUUAGGGAAUUACAAAAAUUAAGAAGAGAAUAAAACAAUACAAACAAAACACACAUUACAUUGUCCUUUUUUUCUCAUUUCACCCCAGUGUAUUUGGGAACCAUUGUCUUAUGGGAUUCACUUAAGGAAACACUGCUCUACAAAGUUGUUUUGCCCAAAUAUGAAAAGAACAAAAUAGCCCUCUUAUUUGAAAAAAAAAAAAAAAAAAGGUGUUCAGUUAUUUUACUAAUAAAUUUCAUUUAGUUCCUUUGUUUCAGAUUUCGAAGUUUUUCAUUUAUCAAUGAACUACAGAUGUAUUAGAUCAUGUGACAUUAUCUGCUAGUCAAGUAAUGUCCUGAUACAACUCCAAAUUGGUUUUUCCUGACCAAUUAGCUUCAAUAUAAAAGUUUUCAAAGAAAUUUUGUUGGAAAGAAAGAAAAUUUAUACUUAUAUUAUUAUAGUAGUAUAAUUUGGAAGGUUAAGAACAAUAUUUUUAAUAGCUAUCAGUUAUGUAUAUAAAUAUCAAUUUCUUUUAGUUAAUAAGUUACCUAGUUGGAAACAUCAAUUAAUUGACUCCUUAAAAAUUUUUUUCCUAUAAAGGCCUAAAUUGAUAUUGCUAACCAAAACAGAGUCAGCCUUGAAAAUCAAGGAAUUCAUUAUGCCUAAUGAACUGAAGUGAAACUUACUAGUUGUUUAAACGCUGUUAACUUUCCCUAAGCUGAUAUCUAUUUUUAUAAACUAAUGUAAAUAAUCUGUUUAUAUUUAGAAUCCUAACUGGUUUUCAUUUUUAUAACUGAUAGUCUAGACCUUAAGUGUUUAGAAAUAAAAUGAAGCCUCAACUGGAUUUGUGAGAAUAAAAUUCAUUGUCUGUAAUUGCCCUAGAACAGAGUAGGUUAGGUACCAUAUGUUUAUUGUGCCAAUAUGAACUGUAAUUCACAAAAGAGAAGUACAUAAUUUGUUUGUCAUGUAGAAAAGUUCCUUUGAAAGGAGAACCGUCUUUUAAAUAAAUAAAACUUCCCAAAUUACAAGUUUAGAGAGAGACACAGAGAAAGAAUAGAGUGGCAUGUAAUUUUUUCUUGGUAAAUUUCAAUAACACCAAGAUAUCAAUGAUCUCCUAAUUAGUUUAAAAGUUAGUAUAAUUCCAAUCAAAAUGCCAAAUUGGGAAAUGAAUGAAACCAUUCUGAAGGUCAUUUGGAAAAUUAAAAGGCAAGAAGAUCCAAGAAAUGUUUGAGAAAGGCUGGGGGUAAUACAGUCCUUCAAAUGUAUAAUAUAUCAUAAAGAUACAAUAAUUAAAACAAUUUGAGGGUUGUAUAAGAAAAAUAAAACAUGCAUUUAUGGAAAAAUAGAAAACAAUACAUUUGUAUGUGUGUGGUGCAUGCACUAUGAAUUGUGAUUAUUUAUAUAUGAAUUAUGUAACACAUGUGCUUAUGUGAUAUGUAUAUAUGAAUUAUAGUCAUGUAUUAAGUAUUCAUAGACAUACGCAAAUGUAUAUGUUAUGCAUAUAUGUAUUAUGAAUGAUGAUUAUAUAUUAAUGGAGUAUAUGAUAGAUGGAAUUGCAAAAGAAUGCUGACAUAUUAAAAACAGUACUGAAAUAAUCAACUAAUGUAGCAGAACUCUGUCAACAUCUUUUGAAAAUCCUCUUGACAUUUUGGUAGUUUCCCACAUUGUAAGUCCUGCCUUUCCAAGAGAAUCCAUAAAAUAGGCUGUAUUAGUCUGCCAAAGGGGUGCUGAUGCAAAGUACUAGAAAUUUGUUGGAUUUUACAAAGGGUAUUUAUUUUGGAUAGAAGUUUACAGUUACCAGGCCAUAAAGUGAAAGUUACUUCCCUCACCAAAGUCUGUUGCCACAUGUUGGAGCAAGAUGGCUGCUGACAUUCAGCCUUUCUCUUCCUCUUCAGGCUGCAUGGUCCCAGCUUCUUCCAAUCAGCUGUGGGCUGGGAUAAGUCUUGUCUCUCUCCUGGGGCUUGUUUCUUUCCAGGAUCAGCUGCUCUGGUCUCUCUACAAGGUCAGCUGUAAACUCUCAGGCAAAUAGCUCAUCUCUCUUCCCAGGGCCUCUGCUAUGUCUAAUGGAGCCUUCUCUCUUUCCUCAUGUAUCUGCUUCUCUGGGUAUUUACUUCCUGGGCUCCAGGAUCAAAACUCCAGCAUCAAAAACUCCACUGUCUGCCCUGCCAUGUGGUUUUCUCUCUGAUGUGGCCGAAUCAAAGUCUUAAUCAUAAUUUAAUCAAGUAAAAGUGAAACCUUUGAUUCCAGUACAAUCUACCAUGCCCAGAGGAACAAACCAGUUUACAAACAUAAUCCAAUAUCUAUUUUUGGAAUUCAUAAAUAAUGCCAAACUGCCACACUCCACCCUCAAUUCCAAAAGACAUUACAAUAUUCAAAAAACCCAUAAUCAGUAACAGUGCAAGUACAAAAUCAUAUCACAAUCAAUUUAAAGGAAUACAGUUUGUCUUGGGGCAAAGUCCCAUCUGGCUGUAACUCUAAAAACUUGCAAAACCAUUUAUCUUCUUCCAAUAAACAGAUGGACAAAGGAUAAACAUUUCCAUCACCAUAAGGGGAAAUUGGGAGGGAAACAUGAGUCAUGGGGCCCCUACAGUUCAGUUAACCUGCAGGUCAUACUUCAUUAGAUGUCAAAGUCUGAGAGUCAUUCUUAAGAUGAUGUUUUAUUCUCCAUGGGGCCUCGUGGAGAUUCACUCUUUCCAUAGGCUUGCCCAACAGCCAUUUUCUUGGUUCCACCCUUAUCAAGCAUCUGGGUGGAGACCAAGCUCCAGAUCUUUCUCUCCAAGUGCAUUGGGUUGAUUGCCACACAUUACCCGAUCUUUGGGUUAGAGUCUUAACCACCCU